rnacentral:rRNA from 1 species
UAGGGAAUCUUCGGCAAUGGGGGGAACCCUGACCGAGCAACGCCGCGUGAGUGAAGAAGGUUUUCGGAUCGUAAAGCUCUGUUGUUAAGGAAGAACGAGUGUGAGAAUGGAAAGUUCAUAUUGUGACGGUACUUAACCAGAAAGGGACGGCUAACUACGUGCCAGCAGCCGCGGUAAUACGUAGGUCCCGAGCGUCGUCCGGAUUUAUUGGGCGUAAAGCGAGCGCAGGCGGUUAGAUAAGUCUGAAGUUAAAGGCAGUGGCUCAACCAUUGUAUGCUUUGGAAACUGUUUAACUUGAGUGCAGAAGUAGAGAGUGGAAUUCCAUGUGUAGCGGUGAAAUGCGUAGAUAUAUGGAGGAACACCGGUGGCGAAAGCGGCUCUCUGGUCUGUAACUGACGCGGAGGCUCGAAAGCGUGGGGAGCGAACAGG